UACGGAGGGGGCGAGCGUUAUUCGGAAUUAUUGGGCGUAAAGGGCGCGUAGGCGGCUGUACAAGUCAAAGGUGAAAUCCCUCGGCUCAACUGAGGAACUGCCUUUGAAACUGUACGGCUUGAGGCCGGGAGGGGGUAGCGGAAUUCCCAGUGUAGCGGUGAAAUGCGUAGAUACUGGGGGGAACACCAGUGGCGAAGGCGGCUACCUGGACCGGUUCUGACGCUGAGGCGCGAAAGCGUGGGUAGCAAACAGG
rnacentral:rRNA from 1 species